rnacentral:rRNA from 1 species
CCAGGGGAAGGUUCGUCCGCCCUGGGUUAGUCGGGACCUAAGCUGAGGCCGAAAGGCGUAGGUGAUGGACAACAGGUUGAUAUUCCUGUACUACCGAUAACCGUUUGAGAGAUGGGAUGACACAGUAGGAUAAGCUAAGCACACUGUUGGUUAUGUGUGCCCAAGCAUUGAGGCAGUCAAAGUAGGCAAAUCCGCUUUGAUAAUGCUGGGAUGUGAUGGGGAGCGAAAUUUAGUU